rnacentral:rRNA from 1 species
UACGUAGGGGGCAAGCGUUGUCCGGAAUCAUUGGACGUAAAGCGCGUGUAGGCGGCCAGAAAAGUCCGCUGUGAAAACUCGAGGCUCAACUUCGAGCUGUCGGUGGAAACUUUCUGGCUAGAGUCCGGAAGAGGAGAAUGGAAUUCCUGGUGUAGCGGUGAAAUGCGCAGAUAUCAGGAAGAACACCCGUGGCGAAGGCGGUUCUCUGGGACGGUACUGACGCUGAGACGCGAAAGCGUGGAGAGCGAACAGG